AGCGAACGCUGGCGGCAGGCCUAACACAUGCAAGUCGAACGAACCUUUCGGGGUUAGUGGCGGACGGGUGUGUAACACGUGGGAACGUGCCUUUAGGUUCGGAAUAACUCAGGGAAACUUGUACUAAUACCGAAUGUGCCCUUCGGGGGGAAGAUUUAUCGCCUUUAGAGCGGCCCGCGUCUGAUUAGCUAGUUGGUUGAGGUAAUGGCUCACCAAGGCGACGAUCAGUAGCUGGUCUGAGAGGAUGAUCAGCCACAUUGGGACUGAGACACGGCCCAAACUCCUACGGGAGGCAGCAGUGGGGAAUCUUGCGCAAUGGGCGAAAGCCUGACGCAGCCAUGACGCGUGAAUGAUGAAGGUCUUAGGAUUGUAAAAUUUUUUCACCGGGGACGAUAAUGACGGUACCCGGAGAAGAAGCCCCGGCUAACUUCGUG
rnacentral:rRNA from 1 species